rnacentral:misc_RNA from 1 species
CUGAGAACUUGCCCUUUGGGGUAAAUCUCCCACCCUUGUUUACGCUACCAUGUUGCUUUGGCAGGCCCGUCUUCUCGACCACUGGCUUCGGCUGGUCCGUGCCUGCCAGAGGAUUUUAAAAACCCUAUUUAUUUUGUGUUCUGAAAUUAUAUUUUCGAAUUAGUUA